rnacentral:lncRNA from 1 species
GUUUUUUUUGUUUUUUUUUAAGGUUUGAGUUUUUAUUUUAUUAGGGUUAGGUUUAGGGUAUUUUGAAAGUGUUCAGGAUUUUCGACUGAAACGACGAAAGUUCUUAGAUAGUUUUGAGGGGUCAGGGAUGUGAUAACACGCCUCAGCACAAUACAUUUCAUAUGUAAUAGCGGGAUAGGACCAUCACUUAAGAAACCGGUCAUGGGGAAAUCCCGUUUCGGGGUAAUAAUGCUUGAUACAAUU